UGGGGCACUCUAAGCCACCCUCACAGCCC
rnacentral:piRNA from 1 species